UCUUGAUCUUGCCUUCACCAACCUCUGUACUGCCUCUAAUCUCUUCAAUAUUAGAGGCAGUACAGAGGUUGGUGAAGGCAAGAUCAAGAGU